UGGUUCAAUUUCUAAUUCUCAACAUACGUAUAUUUGGGAAGAAAAUUGAUUCAUGUACAUACACUAACUUUAUUUUAUUGUACUGUGAUAUCCACUAAAAAAAGGCAUUUCGUUUUUUUUGUUGUUUUUUUUUUUUUUACUAAAAUCAAAUGCAAACAAAGUUUGGCUUCUUUGGAUAUAUUUUCCCUAGAAGUUCAUACAAUGUUUAUAGAAAGCCAUUAACAAGAUAACAAGUGGUAAAGACAAUACAGUAGUUGCUAUUGUUAACACUGUGUUCCAAGAAAUAAAUGUCCUCCACACUGUUCAGAUUACUUAUUUCUAUGAAUAUUUAUAGAUGCGUAUUUCUAACAGUGUUUAUUAAAGCAGCCAAAAAUCUCCAACUUAAAAAUCUCCAACUUAAAAAACAGUGGAAAUGUAUCUCAGUGAGAUAAAUAAGAUAAAAUGUGUGUGUGUGUGUGUGUGUGUGAGUGUGUUUGUAACCAAUCUUGGUGGAUACCAAGGAAAAUUUUAGAUUUCUAUUAAGUUAAACAUUUUUCUUCACCUACAAAUUACCAAGCAUUUUGCUGGGCUCUAGGAAUAUAAAAGUGAAAUACUAUCUAUACUUAUUAGGCCAGGCGCGGUGGCUCACUUCUGUAUUUCCAGCACUUUGGGAGGCUAAGGUGGGCGGAUUGCUUGAGGUCAGGAGUUCAAGACCAGACUGGACAACAUGAUGAAACCCUAUCUCUACUAAAAAUACAAAAAUCAGCCUGGCCAGGUGGUACCCAACUGUAGUCUCAGCUACUCGGGAGGCUGAGGCAGGAGAAUAGGUUGAACCAAGAGGGCAGAGGUUGCAGUAAGCUGAGAUUAUUAUGCCACUGCAUUCCAGCCUGGGUGACAGAGCAAGACUCCGUCUCAAAGAAAAAAAAAGUUAUACUUACUAGCUGUCUAUUAUAUACAGUAGCAGAAUAUUUAUCUCAUUGAGACAAAUUUCCGCUGUACUUUAGGUUGAAGAUGCCAUGCUUUCAGGUGAGUCCAGCAGAGUUAUAACAUCAGCAGACCAAGAAAGUAAUGUUUUCCAGGAGUUAACAAAGAAAAUAAAAGCCCUCUUCAAAAACUAAUAAAUAAAACUUACUGUUUCCUUCACUAAAAUUAAUAUUUGUGACAGGCAUUGUUGGGGGCAAAUACGUACCUGAAUAAAACAAAUUUGCAUUUUGUCCUGCUAGUCAUACUCUAGUAUAUUCAGACACGUUGUUCUAAGGAACCACUAAAAACAGUUGAAAUAUAAAACUUUAGACAAAAAAUAUAAGUGGUUUGCUUCAAGCAUAGAAUGAAGUACAAAAGAUUCUCAAAAAGACCAUUCAGCAUAUAACCAUUCUUCAAAAGGAAAAACACAUUCAGAAAGCCUGAAUUAUUUCUCAAAACUGGGCCAAUAAGAUGUCAUAUUUCACAGUAAAAUAAUUUAAGAAAAUGCUCCAACCAUUUCUAUUUCUUAUCAAGUAAAAACAAAUAUUAGUAGGUUAGUCUCUGAAAUUUGGUGCACUGAAAAAGCUACUGCAUUUGAUUAAAUCCUGUAUUUCUCAAAUUUGAAUUUCCUAUAAAGACUGUUUUUCACUGAUCAUCUGUCCUCUAGAAUUACCAUAGCAUAGGGCUAUGUUUUAGACAUGUUGUUCUACUUUAUAUAUACACAUGGAUUCUCAUAAACAAUAAAAUCAGGACAUCUCUGUAAAAGUUAAGAUAUGCGAAUUAUAGGAUAAAAUGGGUGGAAAAGUUAUUUUUCUCCAUUAUAAUCUAUAUUCAUCUGUUUCUCCUUGAUCAAUGAUUAUCUUCCCCAGCAUCAAGAAUGAGAUAUGGUCAUCAAAACUGUGAAUCACAAAGAAAUCAAAGAUAAGUUAAAUUGCAUUGUAAUUUUUUUACAAAUAAAUGUUACUUAAAAUGUCAUUAAAAUUCUCUUUUUCAUAUGGAAUUUCUUCUCGGUUUUAUGUUAGGAAUAAAAAUAAGAGCAUAUCUUUGUUCUUAAGUAAGUCUAUCCCCUAUGAUAUUAACACUGAGACAAAAAUACUGUAAGAGUUUCUAUAAACCUAACUGUAUCAACUAAAAACAUCUUUGUGAAAUACUUUGCUGUCUUUAUUUCUAAAACUCAGAGCUUAUUUCCAGUACUGGGAGAUUCUACAGUUCUGUAGAAACAUAAAGUCUAUUUUGGAGGUUACUACCAAACUAUAUAGAAAUCCAGGUCUAGUUAUUUAAUUCAUCGAAGUUUAUUUAUGAUGAAUAAAAACUGAAUUUUCAAAAAGGAUCAAAGGUCUUCAGACACUUUAUGAAGGUGUUGCUGUCACUGGUAACUAUCACAUUAGACUUUUCAUAGAUUAUAAAGGGUUUUAAUAGUCAGGGAAAGUAAGUAACUGCAUAAGGUCUAUUUAGAAUGACCUUCACCAUUUUAUUCUCCAGGUCACUAGAAUAACUAACAGAAAAUCAAGUGAUUAAAGCAGAAUUAGGUUUGAUUAAGUGUAAUGUUUCCUCUUAACUGUUUUUCUUAACUUCAGAGAAGAUACUAAUUGAUAGCAGUUGACUAGGGGGUUCUUUAAUAAGGUCAUUCAUAUUCAAAAAUUAAUUCAUUUUUAACCUGUUUCAGGCACCAGACACCUUAAAGAUAACAAACUACUUUUUAUACUAGCAGGAUUUUACCAUGAAUGAAAGAGAAGCAGAGCAGGAUAUGCAAUAUGGACA
rnacentral:lncRNA from 10 species